UACGUAGGUGGCAAGCGUUUGUCCGGAUUUAUUGGGUUUAAAGGGUGCGUAGGCGGCUUGAUAAGUCAGUGGUGAAAGCCGAUCGCUUAACGAUCGAACUGCCAUUGAUACUGCCAGGCUUGAGUAUAGUUGAGGUAGGCGGAAUUGACAGUGUAGCGGUGAAAUGCAUAGAUAUUGUCAAGAACACCAAAUUUGCGAAGGCAGCUUACUAAAAGUA
rnacentral:rRNA from 1 species